GAAGAGGUGCCAGCUCUGCCCAAGCGCAAAAGAUAGAAAAGUCAGCUGCUGGUGUUCUCAGUGCAACACAUCCGUCUGCAAAGAGCAGUCACAUGCUUGUGGUUUGUAACAAAUGCAUGGACUAAGACAGCAUAAAAAGUGCUGUGUGCAAUCAUCUGGUGGCCUUUCUUUACCAGACAGUGCACUACUUUCAACUAAACAUUCCUGCUGCACCACCAGUUCACAGCUGCACAGACACAGAACAGCUUUGGCACGAGCCAAGAACACUUCCAGGUCCGGUUGAUGGGAUAGAGUUCCGUAAACCUACUAACUGGUGUGCUGAUGGAAUAAGAAGUUGGCUCUACAAAGCACUCAAUGGAUAUAUGCCUGACAUGGACCUUCUCCGCGUCUCAGAAACGUAUGCCAACUUUUCUCCACUUACUGCCCCUCUUGUGACAACAAUGGAAAUGUCAGCUGAUGUGCCCCUGGUUGAGUCCGCCUUUGGGCCAGUGCAAGCUGGCAGUGUGCUGUCCUAUCAACUUCCACAGCCAAAGACCCGUGAAAUUGUGAAAAUUGCCGAUGCCCCU